ensembl:lncRNA
AAUAGCCCUGGAUUCCUGUUGGGUGACAGGGUGAGGCUAUGGCUUUUGCCACAAGACCAGGUCAGGCAGGAUGACAAGGACCAGAGCAGAGCUAGGCCAGAAUAUCCCCUAAUGAAAUGUGUGCAGUGUGAACGUCAUGUGCUCAAGAACAGCUGUCUGUCUACCAUGACCAUCCCUAUGGAUGAUGUAGAAAUGAAACAUUUCUUCUUGUUCUUCCGCAACCUUUCAGAGAGGAGUCUGGAGUGCAUUCAAGGAAAGGGGACUGAAUGUGGUCUGAGCAUGAAAGGCAAGAACUGGUUAGGACUUGCUCUGUUACAGGAUCCUGGUCUUUAUUCCUCACGAAUCAAUCUUGCAAAGAGAGAGAGAUGCCAACAGGAGAAGAAAAGAGCUAUUAAUGCAGCAGUCCAACCAAUAUCCAGCAAGGCAGGAAUUAAGAAAGGGAAGAAAAAAAAAGCCAACCCAACACCCAAGCAAUCUGACACUUCCACCUGUAAAUAAUUACUCAUCCAAACCCCAGCGAUAAGCCCAUGACACUCCGUGCCGAUUAGGACCCCGAUGGAGAAGAAAGCCCUCCUUGGUUUCCCUCUUCUUGUCAAAGGCAGCAUUGUUCCCAAAGAGUUAACGCCAAAGCAGGUCUGCAAUUACCUGGGAAUAAUGGGGUGUGAUUGGGGCACUAAAGAGCUGGAAUUGAUUUUCAGGCUUUCUGCCCUAGAAGCUCAGGCUGGGCCCCUCCCUGACUUCCUGGUAACUCAUGACCAGCAGGGUCAAUAGAGCAGAAAUCCUUCUAAAGGGCCAAUCUGUAUUUGAAUUAUUUAAACAAUGUAAUACAGCCAAGUUAAAUGGGGCUUAUCAAAUGCUACACCUCUUAAAGCACAAUUGGAGGCAGAAGGAUAUUAACUGCUGAACUCCACGCUGGUCGGAGAGGGAGGGGAGAGAGAAGGCGUGAAAAAAAAAAAAAGGGAGAGAAAACAAAAGGGGCACCCGAUGCUGGUUUGUAUCAAGGGGAGGAGAUGGGGUCUGCUGUGUCCUUGGGUCUGGAGAGCCUCCGUACCUACCCAGCCUGAGGUUGGCUUUGCCAUCCCAACCCAGGGAGCAUGCAGGGAACUGAAUUCCAAAUUCCAGCCUUGAGGCCGUGUGCUCAGUCUGAGUCAUGACCCCAGGAUGGGAGCACCUUAGGGUUAUGGCACUUGAUGGCGCAGAUCCUUCUUUAUCCGUAAGACCAAUUAGCAUUAUUCAUCACAGAGCAAAUUUGGGAGCCGUGAAUUUUUCUGGGAAGACAGCCUCUGCACUGGUUACAAAGAGGAAAGCCAACGAGGGCACACCUGGCUGCUUUUCUGGCAGAAAACCCAAUUUUUGGUGUUUGGGGUAGCUGGGCUACGCGGGUGACCACCAGAAAGCUCAGAGCUUCCCAGCGAGGGGUAAAUAGUUCACAGCGGCGUUGCCGUCCCUCCCCAACUGUGCUUUCAAGACUGCCGUUGCCACAAACCCAAAGCAAUUUGGGGCCAACGUCCAUAACCUCCAGGCACCAAAACCAAGCACAGGGUUUGUUCGCUUGGCUGCGACAGACCCGUUCUCAGUGUGCCCCCGUGCACAGGAGCCUUCUCCCCACCAUCUCCAGACUUCACAUCUCCUCCACAUUGACCUCCAGAUGUCUCCAUGAAGGUCUCCAAGGCCACUGAUGUUUUCACACCGUGUUUUCCCACCCAGGGGCACCAGGUGACGACGGAAGGGAAUGAGAUGAUCACAAUAUCGAGAGAGCUUAACCCAAGCAAGCAGAGGAUUUAAUAAACUCCUGGCCUAGCCUGCUGCCUGCAAGGUCACCGCUUAUCUGGGUCUGCAGAGGGCUUGCAAGGCGCUGGCAGCCCUCCAACUAUGUUUGGGAGUUUUUACUCUAACCUAAGGCUGCCGGACUCCCACAUUUGACAUUUUCCAAGUGCUGCAAAUGGCGAGGCAGCAAGUGGGAGCAAUGAUCCUAACAGCCAGCAGGGAGAGGGGGAGCAGUUGUUGAGGUUUUCCAAGAGCCCCGGCAAGCGUGAGGGCUCCACGGCUUGAGCUACUCCACUGGGGAUGCUGCAAACACAGUGGUCACUGCUUGAGAGUCUUUUAAUUGCAGCCCAAGUGGAGAAUAAUCAAGUUUUGCAAUGGAGAAAUGUUUGGGGUAACAUUAUCAGAGCUCUAUCUCUGCUUGGUUGUCGUCUUCUCCACGUGCAAUCAUUCUGCACCGCCAUGGUGCAGGACCUUGCAGUGGAUCCUAUGCAUUUGAUUUCUGCAAAGCUAUGGGUCUGGGCUGCUGUUCCCAUUUUGCAAAGAAAUGGGACCAAAAAAAAAAGAGAUAUAUCAGUGAUGGAGAUUCAGCAAAAGAAGUUGUGGUCAUGAAUCCAGGUUUCUCAAUGUAAGAACAAACCACUCUGUGCCUUAAGCACAGUAGUCACUCAGGGUUAAGUGCAUGGAGUCACUGUAAUUAAAGAGCUGUAUUCGUUAAGAGAUGCGCUGCUAGAUGCACAAUAAUAAUUCCAAUGAGCUGAGGUGCUCUAUUUCUCAGCUGGGAAUAUUUCUGUUGUUGGAUGGAAAGUGCAGGGAAGAAAUCUACAGUGAAGAGAGGUUAAAAAUAUAAACUCACUUGUUGUUUUCUUUCCCUUCUUUCGCUCCUUUUAUCUGGCUGGAAAACAGGCUGUGCGGGACAGGGAGUAAAAGAAAACAAAAGAGGAAGGAAGAGUGGAAACAAAAGUGCUGUGUUUUACUCCUCCUCUCUCAAGGAAAGCAGUCCAGACAACCUCUUCCAAAACAUACUUUUUCACUCGAGAGAUGCCCCAUUGAAAAAUGUAUGUUUCUGGGAGAGGGAAUGAUGGAAGGAGAAGAGCGGCAGAGGAGAAACGGGAAGUGCUCGAGUACAAAUGGGAUUGGAAGUGCAAAGGGGGUUAUUUGUCAGAUAGGGAGGAUUAUUUUACAUCUCGACCACCUAUGCAACCACGUGCAUCUGCCUAAAUGAAAUGUUGGUUUAAUCAUCCUGGUCAAAGUCCUUUGGCUGCAGCCAUGGCUUGUUGUACUGUGGAUUAACAGGGGAAAAAUAAUUAAGGGAUUCCAUAUAUACAGUUUUUCUGGCUUUGGCAAGGAACCCCAGGGUCAGAGAAAAGCUCUGAUUUCAAACAACUGUAUUUUGAGUGAUCCUGUUUAUUUCAAGUGUCUGCUGAGGCUUUGACUCUGAGCUAUUAAUACAGAAUAAAUAAUUUUCACACGAG